rnacentral:lncRNA from 1 species
GCGGCGCACGAUGUCGGCCCCGAUGCGGCCGCUGUCGACGGCGGCGGCGAGAUCGGACGGCAGGCUGUCGAGCUUGCGGCCCAGCUGCGCCAGCACGAACAGCGCCUCCCCGCGGGCGUCGCCGCCGCCGGGCGCGUCAUCGCCGUGGCCGGCGUCGUCGCCAUGGCCGCCGUCGUCGCCGCCACCCUCGCCGCCGUGGUGGUUGUGGCCGUCGUCGUCAUGGCCGCCGAAGCCGGCGCCGCCGCCGCCGACGUCGGAGGCUGCGGCGUCGGCGGAGGCGGAGGGUGGUGGCAGGAGCGCGCGCGGGAGGGGCGUGCCCGGGGAGAGGCUGGUGCGCGCAAUGCGGAGGCGCAGCGGCGGCGGGAGGGCGGCGCGCGAGAAGGGGAGCAGCGGGAGGCGGCCGGGCGCCUUGGUCGGGAGGUGCAGGUGCAGGGGCGUGGGCUGCGCUGACGCGGCGGAGAGCGACGACGGCGAGGAGGACGGCGGGAGGGCCAUGGUGGGUAGCUAGCUAAGGCGAGCGGGGGUAGCUCACCGCGGGGCGCGAGAGGGAACGCUGUACGCGGUGGGGUGGGGGGUUAUGUACGAGGACGAGGAGUUGGCGCUGGGCGGGCGGACGCAACGAGGCGGCGAGGGAAGAACGUUGGUGCCGCCGUCAAAGCCUUGAUCAGCCAACGAGGUUACUCACGUUAACGAGGGAAGCAAAGGCGAGCGCACACGACGAGGCGAUUGGUUGCACUUGCACGCAUGCCCCGCGCCGCGCUCCACCAGCCAGGGUUCCGUUUUCGUCACCCGACGCGCGCCGGGCCGAAUUUUAAAGAUGCUGCGGGUGGCCGGCCGGUGGGACACGCUCUUAUCCCUCGCCUCGGCCUCUCGGUCAGAAGCCGUGUGGCCCGUGGCCACACUCCGUCUCCGGGCCGCGGAUUGGGUAAGGCUUGGUUGGUGGGCUGCUGCGGCCUGUCAUUGCGGACUCGCGUCGCCUGCUCCCACAGUCCACAACUUUUUCGUCUUAGUGGGACGAGAUCCGCUUUAUCGGACGAUUGAUGGUAAUAUAAAGUGUACAAUGAUAAUAACAAUAAAAAAAAAAGCUACCAGUGGGCACAGCUGCUCGAGGAGCCAUACAUGUCGGCCUACACUUGCAGAGAUAAGGGACAUCUAUCUAGCUAAAUUGUGAGCCUCACACACAACACACACAUGAGCUUUCUCCUAUCCGGGAUUUCCUUGAGGUCGAGGAAUCGUCAUGGACUCAUGGUCAUGGCACAGGUAAGUUAGUAAGCUUACCUUUUCACCACAACUGAAGCUUAACACCAUGGUGUCACGGCUUUUCCGGAUCUUCCUGGUGGGCCGCACUGUUGUGUUUUUUUUUGUAUGGUGGGCCGUUGGUAUUCUUCAACACCGGAGGACGGAGAAGCCCACGUAUUCGGCCCGAGAGGUCCACCAUGUUACAGCUUUUGCAAUCGUGGCUCGUUGAAUCAGGGCCGGAUGAAAUACUCGUGGCUCGUUGGCUCGCUCGGUUCAUGGUCAGCUCGGCUCGGCUCGGAUCGACCCUUUUGAAUUUUUUCACGAGCUGAGCUGACAUUCUAGCUCGGUUCAUUAACGAUGCAGCUCGGUUCGUUAACGAGCCAGCUCGCGAGCUAAACAAGUUAUCAUAUUUCAGCAAAACGAAACUAUAUGCAUAUCAUUUACAGAAUAAUUGAUGAACACGUUAUAUAAAUGUGAGGUCUAUGACCUAUGAGUUAAACUAAUGAUUAAUGACCUAUGUCUAUGUGUUAAUUUGGUCCAUGCAAAUAUAAUUGUAGGUUAAACUGAUGAACAUGUAUGUGAUUUGUGAAUUGAUGAGUGACUAAUUGUGCUAAUUUGGUGUUACAUUGACGUGGUUUGUGAAACUAUGAGUAUAAUUACUACUUUCUAUUAUUAAAUUAGUUUAAGAUUAACUAAAAAUUAAUUAUUAUGUACAUAUUAUUUUUUCUGCUCUGGCUCGCGAGCUAAACGAGUCGAGUCGAGCAGCCGAGACGAGACGAGCUGGCUUGUUAUCCACCCUAAUCGGAAUGCCGCGGUGUCAUGUGAGCCAGACAAAACGAUUGAAACAGACAAAAAGCAAAGGGGCCUGGAGAUCCGCCGGUCGGCACGGCAGCAUAUGGCCGUUAAUUACCAUGUUGGUUUGCUACUAGUACGUACGUCGUUGCCCUCUUGUCUGCACCUCCGGUCAGCAAAAUUCUCUAGUCACUGUGCGACACCGCGUGUCCCGAGACGAACAUUUACAUAGGAAAAUGCACCAGUACCGCUGCCCCCAAUGUUGGUUUGCGUUGCCUUCCAGUUUCAAACUCUCAUAACCACGGGUAGAUUGCACACUGACAGGUCAAGCUAAUAGGAAGGACCACCGGACCCAGAUAGAAACAAACAGUAUCGACACUGAAUAUAAUAUGCACGGGCGCCAGCAGGGAAGCAGGCGCAUGAGUGAACUCCGGACUUGCACAGAUGUUUUCUCUGAUGCAUGGAAAUUCUCUAGUCACUGAUGCUGGCUGUAAAAGACGAGGGUUAUUGAUUGCUUAGGUAAAAUAGGGUUGAUUCAAGGCAAAAUGGAUUGAUUAUUCAUAGUGUUCGUCAUCAAGUUACACAGCUAAAUUAAAUAUAACUCUUAAGCCUGGACAUGAUGGAACGAAACAGAUGUCAGUCUGGUCAGAACGUGGUCCAGCCGUACCAGCGACGCCAAACCUGCACAUAUAUAUAAUAUAAUAUAUAAUUCAGCCAAAGAUCCUACGUACUACACGAGCUGCAGAUGAUACCCUGAUGCUUUGCCGUGGGUGGGCUGGUGGACCCCCCAGGCACGGACUCACUCACUUUCGCUGUGCGCUCACAUGCCUCAUCUCAUGGUGCAAACACUUAAUAAUUGUUAGCACUCGGUCCGUGAGCAUGCAUUCCAACAAGACGACGGCUGAGCAAGACAACAAGGAAGAACCACAGCAGCAACGAUGGCUGCUCAAGUUCUCUUGCAGUGGCACACCGUGCGCAGUACAGUAGUGGGCGGUGGUCUGAGUUGAGCAGACUGACAUCCAUGCAGAAAUUGGCACGGACAGUACUACAGUAGAGCUUGAGCAAGUUGAGCGUGCAUGGAAAAGGAAAAAGAGAUCCAUCCUACUGUGAGUACAGUUGCUAUGCUACACUAGCACGAAUUAAUGCACAUAGUACUUGCAGGCUGCCGCCGACCGACCGAACCACCACCAGGCAGCAGCAAGACAGCCUGACAGGGAUGAGAUGCCAACGCCCAAAGGCCCGGGCCGGACGACGUUGGUUGGUUGGUCGGUCGCCACUGACGGUCAGUCAGGAUACAUACUACAGAUCAGAAGGAGCCUUCCAUUCUGCCCACGGGCGCCUUGAUGACCUGCAGGAUCUGGACCACCUCCGCCAUGGACGGCCGGUUCGACGGGAUCUGCGACGUGCACACCAUGCCCAGCUUCAGCACCGGCAGCACCUCCUCCUCCGGGACGCGCCCGCCCAUGCCCGGGUCCACGCACUCCAGCGCGUUGCCGUGCUCCAGCAGGGCGCGCACCUGGUCCACCAGCACCACCACGUCGUCGUCCCCGUACUCCACCGCCCGACGCCCCGUCACCAGCUCCAGGAUCAGCACGCCCAGCCCGUAGAUGUCGCACUUCUCGUUCACGCGCAGGCUCUGGCACGCCAGCUCCGGCGCCACGUACCCGGCCCCGCCCUGCUGGAACCGCCCGCCGCCCAUCGCCACCUGCUGCCUCCCGCCGCCGUCCGCCAGCAGCCGCGCCAGCCCGAACUCGCCCACCGCCGGGUUGCACUCCGCGUCCGCAAGGAAGAUGUUGCUCGGCUUCACGUUGUAGUGCACCAGCGGCGGCCGGAACGCAUGGUGCAGGUGCGCCAGCGCCCGGGCCGUCCCGGACAACACGCGGAACCGCUCCUCCCACGUCAUCGCCUCUCCGCCGCCGCCGCCGUGCAGCCGCGCCUCCAGGCUGCCGCGCGCCGCGUAGUCCGUGAUCAGCAGCUGCAGCUGCGGCGUCCAGUAGUAGCCCUUCAGCGGCAGCAGGUUCGGGUGCCGCGCCUUCCCCAGCACGCGCACCUCCCGCUCGAACUCCUCGCGCGACCGCACCAUGCUCGCCGCCGCCAGCUUCUUCACAGCCACCACGCGCCCGUCGCCCACGGGAGCGCGGUACACCGUGCCGAACGCGCCGCGCCCGAUCUCCGUCGCCUUGCCCAGCAGCGCGUCCGCGCCGGCCACCAGGUCCUCCGACCGGAGGCUGCUCCCGGGGCCGAACGUCACCAUCUUGCCGGCGGCGAGCUUGCCCUUGCCCUUGCCCCCCGGUGCCGGCGCCGGCGACGACUUGGUCGUCGAGCUGCUGCUGGUCACCACGCUCUCGUCCACCUCCUUCUUCUGCCCGUGCCCAGGGCCGACACCACCCGCCGCCUCGGCCCGGCGCCGGGCCGACACGUUGAGCAGCGUGAUCACGAUGACGCCGAGGACGAUCGCGACCGCCGCGCAGAUGGCCACCAUGGCGGACACGCUCAGGAACCGCCGCUUCCUCGGCGCGCCCACGCCACCGCCGUUCGUCCCCAUGUUGUUGUUGUCGCCCCCGCCGCCGUGCGUGUACUCGUUGGGGUCCAGCACCAGCGGCUUCGGCACGUUCAUCAUGCACCGUUCCGCCACCAGCGGGCUGCAGAUGCCCAGGUUGCCCUCCAGCGCGCUCGCGUCCAGGCUCUGGAACACGCCCGACGCCGGCAGCCGCCCGACGAGGCGGUUGUGCGAGAUGUUCACGGCCAGGAGGUUCUCCAGCCCGCCCAGCUGCUGGGGAAUCUCGCCGCUCAGGUUGUUGUACUCCAGCCGCAGGAUCUCCAGCUUCUUCAGCUCCGAGAUGCCCGCCGGGAUCGGCCCCGUCAAGCCGUUGUGCCCUAAGCUCCUGCAGCGCAUGCAUAAAACCACCAUGGUUAGACGGACGCGACGUGUCGUGUCGUGACUCGUGAACUCGUGAUCGUGACAGACCAACACGCAGCACACAUGCAACGGCACCAACGCAACACAAGUAUAACACUCACAGGAGGUACAGAGAAGAACAGUUUCCGAUGCUGUCGGGGAUGGGGCCAGAGAGAGAGUUGCCGUCGAGCUGGAGCACGGCGAGGCUACCGGACUCGCAGAGGUCGGCAGGCAUGGCGCCGUACAGUCCCGUGCUACGCAGGUCGAGCACCGUCAGGUUGCGGAGCAGGCCGAGCUCCGGCGGCAGCGGCGCGCGGAGGUCGUUGCGGGACAGGUUGAGGUACCGGAGCUUGAAGAAGAGCGACAUCUCGGUGGGGAUGCCGCCGGUGAGCUGGUUGCCGGAGAGGUCGAGCGACUGCAGCGUCUCCGCCAGCCUGGUGGAGCCCGAGGGCAGGACGCCCGAGAGCGCGUUCGACGACACGUCGAGCGUCUCGAGCCCGACGUCGAACAGAGCGUCCGGGAUGCUGCCGCUGAGGUUGUUGUCCCUAAGAUGCAGCUCGGCGAGCUUGGUGCACCCGGACAUCGAGGCCGGGACGGCGCCGGAGAGCUGGUUCCUGGACAGGCUCAGGUACUUGAGCGCCUUGAGGUCGCCGAGCGAGUCCGGCAAGCUUCCGGUGAGAGCGUUGUCGGAUAAGUCCAGGUGCUGCACCGCGGCCAGCUUGCCGAGCCACGCGGGGACGUCGCCGGAGAGACGGUUUCCGGACGCGGAGAGGUAGACCAGCGAGGCGAGCUGGCCGAUGGAGUCGGGGAGGUGGCCGUCGAACGCGUUGGAGCUGAGGUCGAUGGUGCUGAGGUGCGGGCACCGGCCGAUGUCCGCCGGGACAGCGCCGAAGAAGCGGUUGCCACUGAGGCUGAGGGUCUUGAGGUUAUGGAGCCUGGCAAUGCCGUCAGUGACGGGGCCGGAGAAGAGGUUGUGGGACAGGUCGAGCGUGCGCAGGCGCUCGAGCGGCCAGAGCGCGCCCGCGAAGUCCGGCGAGCCGGAGAGCUGGUUGCCGGACACGUUGAGGUGGAGCAGGAGCGGGCUCCCGGACGCCAGCCCCUCCGGCACGGGCCCGGAGAACUGGUUGCCGGACAGCACGAGGAAGCGGAGCGUGCGCGGGAAGGCGGGCGGGAGCGGUCCCGAGAAGGCGUUGCCCGUGAGGUCGAGGUAGCGGAGGGAGGCGAGGCGCGCGACGUCGUCGGGGAGCGGGCCGGAGAAGGCGUUGUAGGAGAGGUCGAGGGAGCGGAGGGAGCCGAGGAGGGAGAGGCCCGGCGGGAGCGGGCCGGAGAGGUUGUUGCGGGCGAGGGAGAGGUCCUGGAGCGCGCCCAGGCGGUCGAGGCCCCGUGGCAUGCGGCCGGACAGCGCCAGCCCGUCGAGGGCGAGGCGGAGCACGCGGGAGGUGGCCGGGUCGCACUCCACGCGCGCCCACCCGCACGGCGUCGCGUCCGACUCCGUCCACGUCGCCAGCGCACCUGUCGGGUCGGACAGCGCCGACUUGAACACUACCAGCCCCAGCACCUCCUCGUUCACCGCCAUCGGCAUGUCGGCCUUCGUCGCUGGUGGCGCGCCCCCAAUGAGCAGCAGCAGGAGGAAGAGGAGGAGAGCAGGAGAGUUGGCGGCAGUAGUGGCGGCCAUUUCUGAAGGCUGCAGCUGCGGGUGCAGAAUGUUUCCGGGAUGGGAUAGAUAUGGUGGCGAACUGGCGAUGACGGUGAAUGGAAGUGGAUGAGAUCUAGUGGCACGGGGGAGGAGAAGUGGUACCGGUGCCGAGCUGUGUUUUGGGAGUGUAGUCCAUCGGAGCCGCGGGGAAGGGCAGCCGGGCCGCGGGCGCGUCGCUGCAUUGGAUUGCCCGUGACUCGCGAAGGGAGGGGGGCGGGGGGUAGGUUUGGACACAAGGAAAGCAACAAAGGACUUCACGUUCUCCGGUCCCGGCCAGGUCCUCGGGUUUGCCAUGGCCAUGGCCGCCCAUGGCCAUGCCCCGGUUCUCUGCCGCUGGGCGGUGGGGUCGCCGGAGGAAUCUAGCUCGCCGGAACACGACACCGCACGGCGAUUGAGACGACGACGACGCGCGCGCGCACAAGCUGUCUACUGGAGUACUAUUCUGCAGCUGUGGAAAGGGAAUGAUAGUGUGUUAAAGAAUCAUAUGCGCCGGCCGUUUCCAUACUCGGCCUUCAAUUCACGCAGCAGAACAAAAGGCAGCCGCCAGAAUCACGUCGAAAGGUACUCAGCUUUUUUUUGUUAAUCCUGAUCACGGAUUCAAAACGCGUGGCCGAUCGCCCCCAUGCCCAAGCGGGCAGCAGGCAGUAGGCAGGAACCCAUCCAUCUGGCCGUCACAGGACGGGAGGACGAGCAGCAGAGGCUGCCCCAGUCCAUGACUCCAUUCGUCAGUUCAGUGAGUUACCACCAGUAUGGAAGCUGAAAAGGGUAUCCGCCUAAAGUGCCCAGAUCCGCAUGACUGCAAAGCUGUACCAGAACAGCUACAGAAGCUGCCAUCUCGUCGUGUAUGGCUCGCGGAUUAUUUCUUUCAGAUCACGGGGGCACAUCACAUGUAUACGUGCAUACGUUGGCGUUGUAUUAUUCAACAUGUCCAGUCGUUAUCAUCCAUCCAUAUUCUAUACAUCUAUCUAUACCUCACAUCUAACGCACGCAACCUUUGUAUAUAGGCAAGUAUGGAACGGUAAAGGUGAGAGCACCCUGGAGUAGCUACAGUUAUUCCUGUUGAGAAUUCCCAGCUUGAAUUCUGGCACCGGGCUGAAAUAUAACUGAACAGCUGUUGCAUCAAUCACGCGGGCCGUCAAAUGACUGGGAUUUCCUCAAGUUCCAGUGGAGACCCUCAUGGAUGCUGCGGAGGAAAUCGGUCGUCGAGUCCACCAGGCAGGCUGUGGGCACGGGCCAGGGAGAAAUGCUGCAGAUCAGGGCGUCACCGGGCGACAGCUGCUGUCGGUCUUUGCCGUCGAAGGAUGCCCAGGCAUUGCCCCUGCUGUUGAACGGCACUUGAACGCGGAGGGUCACGUAUUCAGGCAGAAUCAAAGGUCUGAAUGACAGAGAGUGCGGGCAGAUUGGGGUGAAAAGGAUCCCUGGGACCUGCAAACGCCGGCUAGACAUUAGAAACCAAACUGCAGGAUGGACAGGUAAUGCUGCUUGCUGAGCCGCUUGUAAAUCGAUUGGGGCCGUACCUGAGGAUGAACCAUGGACCCUCCAGCUGCUAAUGAAUAUGCUGUACUUCCAGAUGUAGUUGAUAUGAUUAGUCCAUCCCCUUGUACGCAAGUAACAAAAGAGCUGUCACAGUAGACUUCCAGGUUGGUAAGGUAGGAUGAUAUUCCUCGGUCGAUUGUAACUUCGUUCAACACUAAGAAUGGCUCCUCAGACACGAUUUCAUCCUUUGCCUCGUCACGUAUUACAUGACACUGUAUGCGGUUUCUCAGCGUGAUGCUAAAUGGCCCAUUCAGCACAUUGUCCAACAACUCACGGUAUUGCUCGCUUGCUGAAAAAAGGCGUGUUAAGGAGAACGUAGCAGAUAAGAAUAGGGGUGUCAAUAGGAUACAAGAAAGAUUCACAUGCAAUUUCUUCUCCAACAGAAAUAGGUUUCCUGAGAUCCAAUAAAAUCCAGCUGUUCUAGGGUAUUACUGCAUAGACCAUGUUAGCACUGGCGGUAAAGGAUACGGAAAGGCGUCAUGAAGCCCAGUGAUCCCAGGGCAAAUGCAACAACCGGAGGAACAGGUCCUUUGAACAAUGAUGCAGCCUGUUAAGAGGGAUCAAGUCAAUCACUCGAUUUCUAGUUUCAAUUGGAGAGCAGUUGAGUAAAUGAAAACUAAGUGAAAGUACAAUCUCAAAUAAGCAAAUGAGAAUAUCAUCAGAAUAAGCAUAGAGACUCAGUAUGUCUAGCAGUUGGCAGGCAGGCAACAUGCAAAAUACUAAACUAUGGAACAGGUAAGCUACUAAGGUGUUCCCACAGUGAAUUACAUUAGUUCUCUUCACUUUAUUAUUGAAAGGUCACCUGAAUAAGAACUGCCAACAAGACUACCAUACAUAUGGCUUGGCCAGCACCAUAACUGUCAUGAUCAUUCCUGGAGGAAUCCACAGACCUUCCAUUUUGGAUGUUAUGUUACCACCUAAACUAUAUGCAUUGACAAAAAAUGAGGGUUUCUGUGAAAUAGUUUAUCAUCCAAAUGUUCUGAACAAAGUUUAGCUGGCUGAGGCAAAGCUAAUCAUCAGACUGCUAGGUCCAUGUGAACCUCCUCCUAAGUCUCCAAAUAUUCGAAAACUCAUCACAGGAGUAAUAAUUUACUUUUGAAUGUUAGAAGUAUAUAGGAUGAAUGCUUCCUUCUUGCAUCACCCACAAGCUCAAGUUUCUGAAAACUAAUUACUUGCUAAGUGCAUCAAUUGUAAUUGGCACAUUACUCUCCCAUAGCGAACUGAAGGCAUGGACCAAAAGGAAGUAGCUAAGCAAACUAACACGAUGCCAGGGUCCAAGUACUGCUGAAUGAUUGAAGCACAAGAGGUAAUUAAUUUUUCAUAAUUUAUAUAUCAAAAAACAUUUUACAGAUAAUGUAGCACGAGUGUAGUUACUUUCUUGCUAAUCUAGACCAACAGCCACAUAACUGAAGGUGUCACUAUAUCAAAAUGGAUUAAAAAAAGCAGCUUCGCAGUCCAGAUAACAAUUUGCAAGGAUUCAUCACAAAUGAAAUAUAAAAGGAAAUGGAUGCAUACCCACAGAACAGUUCCAUCACCACCAAGAGUUAUAAUUAAAUCAACCUUUGUGCGCAGCAUCUUUAUCUCCUCAUCUAUAAGAGUUGGCCAGAACACAGAAAGUGCUAUGUCAAUAGAACAAUUGAAGGAACAAUUUAAUAGAUCUAAAACAUGAGAAUGCAAAAGUAGAAGGCGAAGAUUGUCGAUGAACAAGAUACUACAGCGGAAAAGUAUGUUUUAUGCUAAAUGAACUAUGUAAUCUCAUUAAAGUAGGAGUACUACUUGCUCUAAUGACCCACUAAGGGACUGUGGGGAUUCUUAUGGGUAGGCCGCCAAAAUGAUAAUGGAGGUAAUUGCCUUGUCCCUUGGGAAAAGGUUCAGAGGCCGUUACAGUAUGGUGGUCAUGGGAUACUCAACCUUGAAUCAAUGGGAUGGGCCUUGCGCAUCUGUUGGCUGUGGCUACAAAAAAGGGAUUCUUCUCGACCUUGGGAAGGGCUGCCUUUUCAGGUACCCCGUAAUUCCCAUGCUCUCUUUGAUGUUGCCCUGGAGACCAAGGUUGGUGAUGGUGAGGCCACUAAAUUCUGGACAGAUCGUUGGCUGCACGGUUGCACUGUAGGUGAGCUGGCCCCUAAUCUUAUUCAGGUAAUUCCUAAACGAGCAAGGAGACAACGCACUGUUUCUCAAGCUUUGGGCAGCAGGUCUUGGACUGCUGAUAUCCAGGGUGCCCUCACUGUACAGGUGCUUGUCGAAUACCUGAAGCUCUAGGAAGUAGUUGAUUUUACCUUGCAGCCUGCAGUUUCAGAUCAGCACAUAUGGAAGAUUACAAAUUCAGGGCUGUACACUAGUCAAUCUGCUUACAACGCCUUCUUUUUGGGUUCAGUUAAGUUUGCACCUUGGAAAAAGAUUUGGAAAACAUGGGCCCCUCUUCGAUGCAAGUUCUUCAUUUGGUUAGCAAUCAAGAACAGGUGUUGGACAGCAGAUCGCCUGUCAAAACAUGGGCUGCCGCACCACUGUCUUUGCCUCCUUUGUGAUCAGGAUGUGGAGAAUAUAAAGCACAUUCUUGUGUCUUGCGUCUUCUCCCGAGAGGUUUGGACCAAAAUCCUUCUGUGUGUUGAUCUGCAGGCAGUUGCUCCCCAACCUGAUGUGAGAACUUUCUCUGCCUGGUGGUAUUGGGCAGCCAGCAGUUUGCCAAAGGAGAAGAGGAAAGGGUUUAAUUCCAUAGUCAUCCUUGUGGCCUGAAUGGCUGGACUCUUUGGAAGCAUGGGAAUGUGUGUGUUUACGGGUCUUAAUACUAGUGUCCCCUUAGUCUGCCAAGAAGUUGGUAACGAGAGCGAGCUCUGUUGUCUUGCCGAUAACACGGCACUCAAGGAGCUGCUCGGUGGAGAGCGAAGGCUAGGCGCCUAAGUUUGUCCUGUAGGGUCGUUGGUUUGUCCUUGCGCGUGGCGCGCUUGUACUCUAGAGUGAUGGUGUGGUGAGGGGCAUACCUCAUGCCUCCCCUCAUGUGUUGUACUGUUAUCUUUCUUUCUUAAUGAAAUGUCAUGCAGCUCUCCUGCGCCGUUCGAGAAAAAAAAAGUAGAAGUACUACAAAAGUUUAUACUUUACAGCUGCAAGACAGUUGCUGCAGCAGCACAUGGAACAUGCGACUCACAUUUUGCAUCAUUCAUAGUGAUACAAACACAGCUUAAUACUGUGUUCAGUAACCAACCCAGGUUCAUCUCCUCCAUAUUUCAGAAAUAUGUUGUGGCAGGGAAGAUCUCAACAUUCCAAUCUGUCUUUUUCUUACCAUGCACAGUUUAGGCCAAUGAGUGUUUUAAACUAAAAUAUACUGUUGUGGUCUGACCAGUAAGGUUAGAUUUGAGAACAUCAUCAUCCAUAAACACUCUCCACAAUAGUAAUAUGCAUUGCAAAUUACAUGGUAAAUAGGAUAACAGAACAUCAACAUAUAAAUAGCAAGACGAGGCAGAAACUCCAUAUCAUCUGAGUACCACUAGAGUCUUGCACUUGAAUGUAUGGACUAUCCAUAAACACUCUUCAAAUUAUUAAUCAAUUUAUUCAAUUCCGUCACAAAAAGGAAAAAUAUCUUCUUGAGUAAUCUGUUCUGAACUGCUAAUCUGGAGCACAUGGAAGAAGUUCAUCACACAAGUUAAAUGUCUUACCAUUAUCCCAUGUUUGGACGAAGUUGUAGUAAGAAUCCUCUGUUAGAAGUUCCUUGCUAACACGUGGCUCAACAAAGAUGUUUAUAUUUUUAUGCUCCCUAAGCCAUCUGCAGAAAAAUAAUUAAAAAAACUUUUAGUGGCAUGUGCACAAUAUACAGGUUACCUGUGCAGUAGCAUAUAACCCAUGUAAGUUGCGAUUCAUGAUGCACAAAAACAUAUCAAAGGUGCUGAUUUCUAAAAAUGUUAACUUAUGUCAUCAAAGACAAGUGGUUGGUUCUCAUAUGGUAUAGUGUGGCUAGGGAUGGCAACGGGUCGGAUUCGGAUCGGAUAUUGGAAAUAUCCGCCUGCAGCAAUAUCCAUGGUCAUAGAUAAUAUCCGACCGCACAAAGAAUUAAUCCGUGGAUUUGGAUAUCCGUAGUGGUGGUGCAAAGCAGAUAAAAGAACACACCUGAUCAUUUCAGCACAAAGAACACGAACAGAGUUGGAAUUCGGUUUGGUUAUGAAAAGCACUGUUUGUGGUGGCGAUUCCCAUUUCAGUAAGAUCUGGAGGCAAAGUAUUUGUCAUCAUUGAAAGAGAGAGGAGCAAAAGUGAUUAAAAAUUUCUAGAAUUAUCUGCCAUUCCAAAAUGAAUUGAACAGGACAAAUGAACCAACCUGCUUAUUGCUUCGUUCUGCGGUUGUUAUAUCACCUUUUUCAAAGGACACAAAAUCAUGCUUAUGUUGUCCAUUUUUAUCCCCAUUACAUCCCCAUGAAAGUUUAAAUGAUGCCUUUCUCCCCACCACCUUGUGAUUAGAUCUUGGGAUAGGCCCAGGAACUUCGUCCUGGAGAAUCUCAUGUGCACAUAUACCAUGCUUUCCGCAACAUCCUAAUUGAUCAGAUGUAGGUGUCUCCAGGGUUAGUUGGCUGACCAGUUUGUCUAAGUCAUUAUUGAUACAACUGCUGUAGCCUGCACAAGAUAGAAUUCCAGUUGCUUAAGAGGCACAAAGAGUAUAGAUGCUGAACACGGUAAUAUAGUAUUCCAUGAUGCAAUAUGUGUGCCAAAUUUUAAAUUUUGAGAUCCAUCCAAUCAGGGGCGAUUCUAGGGAGGGGCACAGGGGGGCAAUGUCCCCCCUAAUCUUCUACAAAUUCCAUAGAAGCUACUAAUUUUUUUAGCUAAUCACCAUAUAAAUAAUGUAAAAUACCUCUUAACAGCCCCCCUCAAUCUAAUUUGUCCCUCUCAAUCUUAAAUGCUGGCUUCGCCCCUGCAUCCAAUGGUGCUAUGAUAAGCCCCACACACCCUCAAGUCACGCCUAUGAGCAGUAUGUUGAACAUCGCAGGGGCCAGAGCCUAAAGUUUGCUAAACCAACCACACUCCUUGUCGCAUGGGCCUAUGCACGUGUGUAGCAACCUGCUUGGAAUUUUGUGGUCGCUUCACUGACUAAACCAUCAAAUGGAAAAGAUAGAUAUGAACUUGAAGCGAUAGUUGAUGGAUUGCUCAAGUUAUGAGAUUGUUUCACUAAAAGUAAAAUUAUCAAUAGCAAAUGCAUAUCUUACCUUUGAUUUUACUCCGAUGCUUGUGCGCUGUCUCUAAUUCAUACUUACGUUUCCACUCCGCUGCCUCUGCUUGAGCAGCAGCCUUCCCUUCAGCCACUCGUCGUAAGGCUUUUGCAACAGCUUCAAAUUCACAUAAAUUUAUACCAAUUGUUAUUUUAAUAGUAAAAGGAAGGUUGCACAUGUCUGUAUUUCUGCAGUACAUUUUAGGCUUCAUUCAAAGUACAAAAUAUGUCUAUCCUUACUUCUCAUAGCCUCCGAAAACUCAACAAGAUGUGCAUCAGUUGACCUGACAGGAGUUUGAGCAAGAAAUUCAUAUGCUGCCCUCUCUGAUUCUAGUGAACUAACAGUAGAGAUAGAUCCAUUUUCACUUUGAUGUGAGGCCGCGACAUCUACAUUUACACUCUCGUCAGAAACCUGAAAUAGAAGCAGGUCUGUCAGCGUGAGUGCAGGACAAUAGGGCAUCUGAUGGUUGUUAAAAAAAUGUCUCUCCUUUCAUUGUGAAUGUAUCAACUGCACCAGAAAUAAACAUAUCCAGCCGUUUAAGAUUGCAAUGAAGCCAAUGAUGACAUAUGCAGCUUAGUUUAGAUUCACAGACAAAGUGUUGUGAGGUUUUCAGAUAAAUUCAGACUUAAACCCACCAAACUUUUGAACUCCAUAAACAAUACCCAAUAAAAAUGCUGAUCGAUUUAUGUAACUCAGAGCUUAAAUAGGCUCAAACUGCAAAAUGAUGCAAUGUUAAACUUGCAAUUUGUUAGCCUUUCCACAGGUAAGGUAACCAAGCGAUUUUGCCUCGUAUUUUCAUGUGUGACUCGGAUUUGCAAUUAGUGUGACUUUCUAGCUGAUUAAAUCACAAAUUCAAGUUUCGUAUACUACUCAAAUGUCUGUACUAGAUACGUUUUUUUAAACAAAUAUACACUGGAACACCGGAAUAAAUCUUUCACCCACAAAAUGGGGAAAGGAGGUCGAGCCCAUUGGCAUUUCUGGUCCAGGAAAUCCCCGAGCCGGAGCUUGCAAGAUAUAGUUACUUAAAACACCUGUACGACAAAAACAGAAGCCGUGAAACUCAAGGACACUCCAGUUAGUUACUUGGGUGCCGUUACUUAUUACGCAAUCGCACGACGAAGAACAAAAACUACGACUACGAGCGAGACGAACCCAAAGCGGGCACACAUUCCUUAACGCCAUUCUAUACAAGUCUGGACGUACCGAGUGGACCAAUGAUCUGAUGCUCGGAAGAGUUGGGAGCGGAAUCGGCGAAGGACUGAGGCUCCGGAACUUGGAAUCCGACGGCGCGAGCUGAACUUCCUCGGAGGACGACGGCCCCUGCCACGCGGAAACCACGCAUUCACCAUAACCAGCUAAACCAAGCAUUCCGUCGAUCUCAGAAUUCAAACUAGCUCGCGAAAUUCGGACUCCCAGGGGGAGGAGGCGCUUACUUUGUCGGCGAGCUCGUCGAGCGGCAUGGCGGCGCGAUCCGAAUCCGCUUCGCGUCCUCGCCGUCGCAGAAACCAACCCCCUGUACUGCUCUUGGCCCCCGGUUCCGGGGCUUGGGUGGGCAAUUGCACUUGGUCUCCGAUUCGCAAGGGGGGAGAAGAAGAAGAGAAGGGGUAGGAGGUGGUUGUGGUGCGAGGCGCCGAGGCCGGUGUGAGGAGCACCACCUCUGCCCCGCCCCGGCGCGGCUAUUUAGGAUCCUGCUUUGACGCCGACGGGUGCUCGCCGGUGGGCCCCAGCUGCAGUGGGACGGCCGGGUUCCGGCUGACGCGUGCCGGGAAGGGAGCGGCAUGGCGUGCGGAGCCUUCGUGGUUCACUGGUUCCUGCCGGGGUCCACCACGCUUCCCAUUUCCUUUUUUCCCCGGUUUGGGGAUUAUUAAUUAAAUCGAUCUAACUAUAUCCGCCCCCCUCCAACUUGUGGGGAGACAAUGGGAGAAAGAAACUUAGGGCUUUGGAAGUUAAUUAUUUUUACAGUUCCUAUGCAAUACUAUAUUUUUAAAUAAUACUAUAAUAUUUUAUACCAUAAGAUGUUUGGUUAUAUUCUUGAAAACUAUAUUUUCAAAAACAUGGUAUUCUAGAUAAUGUGGUAUUUUUGGAGUAUUGGAAACUCCGCUCCAACCCAAAGUUUUUCAUGGAUGGCUAGAUUUUGUCUAAUACCAUGACUUACAAUGUUGUAUCCAAACAAUGUUUCUCAAACCAUGGUAUUUUUGGAGUAAAAUACUACGGUAUUGUCAUUAACAAUUGCAAAAUAUAGUAUUGUAGAACCAUGUUUUUUAGAAACAUUGUUGCCAAACAAGUCCUUAGACUCUUUUUGAUUGGGAUUCUCUAAGAGCUUUUUGAAAAAAAAAUCUACUAAAGGGGUUUUUUAUGAGCUCUUUCUAGAAAAGAGAGAUGAUCUCCUUCAAAAAAAUCAACGAGAGCUAGGAGCUAGAAAAAAGCUUCUGAAAGUCGCCUAGAGGGGGAUGAAUAGGGCGAAUCUGAAAUUUAUAAACUUAAGCGCAACUACAAGCCGGGUUAGCGUUAGAAAUAGAAACGAGUCCGAGAGAGAGGGCGCAAAACAAAUCGUGAGCGAAUAAAGAGCGAGACAUGAUGAUUUGUUUUACCGAGGUUCGGUUUUUGCAAACCUACUCCCCGUUGAGGUGGUCACGAAGACCAGGUCUCUUUCAACCCUUUCCCUCUCUCAAACGGUCACUUAGACCGAGUGAGCUUCUCUUCUCAAUCAAACGGAACACGAAGUUCCCGCAAGGACCACCACACAAUUGGUGUCUCUUGCCUUGGUUACAAUUGAAUAUGAUCACAAGAAAGAAUGAGAAAGAAAAGAAGCGAUCCAAGCACAAGAGCUCAAAUGAACACAAAUGUCACUCUCUCUAGUCACUAUUUGAUUUGGAGUGAUUCCGGACUUGGGGGAGGAUUUGAUCUCUUUGGGGUGUCUAGAAUUGAAUGCUAUAGCUCUUGUAAUGUGUUGAAGGUUGGAAACUUGGAUGCUAUUGAAUGUGGGGUGGUUGGGCUAUUUAUAGCCCCAACCACAAAAAAUGGUCGUUGGAAGGCUGUUGUCGCAUGGCGCACCGAACAGUCCGGUGCGACACUGUCCGGUGCGCCAGCCACGUCAGCAGACCGUUGGGGUUCGACCGUUUGAGCUCUGACUUGUGGGCCCUCUGGGCUGUCCGGUGCGCCAACUACGCGUGCUCUGACUCUGGCGCGCACUGUAGCGCAUUGAAUGCGGUUGCAGUCGACUGUUGCGCGCGAAGUAGCCGUUGCUCCGCUGGCACACCGGACAGUCCGGUGCUUCACCGGACAGUCCGGUGAAUUAUAGCGGAGCGCCCUCUGAAUUUCCCGAAGGUAGCGAGUUCAGCGUCGAGUGCCCUGGUGCACCGGACACUGUCCGGUGCGCCAGACCAGGGUGCCUUUGGGUUGUCUUUUGCUCUCUUUGUUUGAACCCUUUCUUGGUCUUUUUAUUGGCUUAUUGUGAACCUUUGGCACCUGUAAAACUUAUAGACUAGAGCAAACUAGUUAGUCAAAUUAUUUGUGUUGGGCAAUUCAACCACCAAAAUCAAUUAGAAAAAAGGUGUAAGCCUAAUUCCCUUUCAGCUUCUACAAACUUCUCUCCCAUGUUUUUCUCUUCAUCGAACCCACGUCGCACGAGAGGUUGUGUUUCCAACCAAAUAGGAUGCUCUUUCUGAAGCUCUUCUUGAAAAUAACCCGAUAGUUGUUUUCUAGAGAAGGCAGAGCUAGAGCUAGCAGAGGUAGAGCCCUACCAAAGGGGGCCUUAAUUGGGGCAUAGGGGUGACAAUUGGCUCUAAAUUUUACAUUUUAAAAUUUAAGGAUCAGAUCAAAUUAGGAUCAAGCUCUAUUUCUAUUCAUUUUUGAACUAAAAUUAAUUUAGGGCCCAAACAAAUUGUGAAGAAAUAUUUGGAUCGUGGGCAUCAUACACCUCAUUUAAAAUCUACUAAGGGGGUGUUUGGUUUCCCAGUAAAGUUUAAUUCAUGUCACGUCGAAUAUUUGAAUAUUAAGUAUAAGUAUGACAUGUAGACUUAGAGCAUCUCCAAGAGAUUAACCAAAAAAACUAGCCAAAUUUAGUGAUUUAGCUACUCUCUAAAAUAGAUUUGACAAAAAAAAAUACUAGAGUACUGCAAUAUACUCUGUAAAACCCAAAAGGUGGAUGGUUAAUGAGGCAAACUAUCUAUACUACAGGAAAAACAGGAAAAAGUAUCAACCGCCUUAAGAACGUCGACAUCAGCGUUCUUAAAUAGGAUAAGAACGUCGGUUUCGACGGCCGGCGGUCUUAACUUUAAGAACAUCGGUCACGUCCAGACCGGCAUACAUAAAGUUAAGACUGUCUGCCCUCACCUGGCUGACGUUUUUAAAGCGAUAAGACAUCGACCCUCCCCUAUCCGACGUUCUUAAGUGAUUUAAGAACCAUGCGCCUCAGCUUCCCUUCUCAUUUCUCUGUUUCUCUCUGAUAGUCGCCUAGAGGGGGGUGAAUAGGGCGAAACUGAAAUUUGCAAGAUUAAUCACAACUACAAGCCGGGUUAGCGUUAGAAAUAAUAAUGAGUCCAAGAGAGAGGGCGCAAAACAAUUCGCAAGCGAAUGGAGCGGUGAGACACAAGGAUUUGUUUUACCGAGGUUCAGUUCUUGCAAACCUACUCCCCGUUGAGGUGGUCACAAAGACCGGGUCUCUUUCAACCCUUUCCCUCUCUCAAACGAUCCCUCGGACCGAGUGAGCUUUCUUCUUCUCAUUCAAACGGGAACAAAACUUCCCCGCAAGGGCCACCACACAAUUGGUGCCUCUUGCCUUGGUUACAAUUGAGUUUUGAUCACAAGAACAAGUGAGAAAGAAAAGAAGCAAUCCAAGCGCAAGAGCUCAAAAGAACACAGCAAAUCUCUCUCGCUAAUCACUAAAGCCUUGUGUGGAAUUGGAGAGGAUUUGAUCACUUGGGUGUGUCUAGAAUUGAAUGCCUAGCUCUUGUAAGUGGUUGAGAAGUGGAAAACUUGGAUGCAAUGAAUGGUGGGUGGUUGGGGGUAUUUAUAGCCCCAACCACCAAACUAGCCGUUUGGUGGGGCUGUCUGUCGCAUGGUGCACCGGACAGUCCGGUGCACACCGGACAUGUCCGGUGCGCCAGCCACGUCACCAAAGCCGUGGGGUUCCGACCGUUGGAGCUCUGUCUUCUGGGCCCGCCUGGAUGUCCGGUGGCGCACCGGACAUGCACUGUAUAGUGUCUGGUGCGCCAGUAUAGGCGUGCCUGACUUCUGCGCGCGCUGGCGCGCAUUUAAUGCGCUGCAGGUAGCCGUUGGCGCCGAAAUAUCCGUUGCGGCGUUGUCACACCGGACAGUCCGGUGCACACCGGACAUGUCCGGUGAAUUAUAGCGGACUAGCCGUUGUGAAUUCCCGAAGCUGGCGAGUUCCUGAGGCCGCUCUUCCUUGGAGCACCGGACACUGUCCGGUGUACACCGGACAGUCCGGUGAAUUAUAGCGGAGCGCCUCUGGAUUUUCCCGAAGGUGACGAGUUUGACUUGGAGUCCUCUGGUGCACCGGACACUGUCCGGUGGUGCACCGGACACUGUUCGGUGGCACACCGGACAGUCCGGUGCGCCAGACUAGAGGUGCCUUCGGUUGCCCCUUUGCUCUUUUGUUGAACCCAAUACUUGGUCUUUUUAUUGGCUAAGUGUGAACCUUUGGCACCUGUAUAACUUAUACACUAGAGCAAACUAGUUAGUCCAUUUAUUUGUGUUGGGCAAUUCAACCACCAAAAUCAUUUAGGAACUAGGUGUAAGCCUAAUUCCCUUUCAAUCUCCCCCUUUUUGGUGAUUGAUGCCAACACAAACCAAAGCAAGUAUAGAAAUGCAUAAUUGAACUAGUUUGCAUAAUGUAAGUGCAAAGGUUGCUUGGAAUUGAGCCAAUAUAAAUACUUACAAGAUAUGCAUGGAUUGUUUCUUUGUUUUUAACAUUUUGGACCACACUUGCACCACAUGUUUUGUUUUUGCAAAUUCUUUUGUAAAUCCUUUUCAAGGUUCUUUUGCAAAUAGUCAAAGGUAAAUGAAUAAGAUUUUGCAAAGCAUUUUCAAGAUUUGAAAUUUUCUCCCCCUAUUUCAAAUGCUUUUCCUUUGACUAAACAAAACUCCCUCUUAAUGAAAUCCUCCUCUUAGUGUUCAAGAGGGUUUUAAGAUAUCAAUUUUGAAAAUACUACUUUCUCCCCCUUUUGAACACAAAGAGAUACCAAUUUGAAAAUCAUUAGUUUUAAAAUUAGGUGGUGGUGUGGUCCUUUUGCUUUGGGCUAAUACUUUCUCCCCCUUUGGCAUGAGUCGCCAAAAACGGAUACUUUGAGUGAAAUAUAAGCCCUUUGUAAUACUCUCUCCCCCUUUGGUCAUAAGUAAAUGAGUGAAGAUUAUACCAAAGACGAAGUCCUUUUGCUUUGAACUCUCCCCCAAAAGAUGGAGAGAUGCGCGGAGCGACGGCGAAGGAUGAGUUGCGGAGUGGAAGCCUUUGUCUUCGCCGAAGACUCCAAUUCCCUUUCAAUAUACCUAUGACUUGGUUUGAAAUAGACUUGAAAACACAUUAGUCAUAGCAUAUGAAAGAGAUAUGAUCAAAGGUAUAUAAAUGAGCUAUGUGUGCAAAUCAACAGAAGAAGUCCCUAGAAUCAAGAAUAUUUAGCUCAUGCCUAAGUUUGUUAAAAGUUUGUUCAUCAAGAGGCUUGGUAAAGAUAUCGGCUAAUUGAUCUUUAGUGUUAAUAUAAGAAAUCUCGAUAUCUCCCUUUUGUUGGUGAUCCCUAAGAAAAUGAUACCGAAUGGCUAUGUGUUUAGUGCGGCUAUGCUCGACGGGAUUAUCCGCCAUUUUGAUUGCACUCUCAUUAUCACAUAGAAGAGGAACUUUGGUUAAUUUGUAACCAUAGUCCCUGAGGGUUUGCCUCAUCCAAAGUAGUUGCGCGCAACAAUGUCCUGCGGCAAUAUACUCGGCUUCGGCGGUAGAAAGAGCAACCGAAUUUUGCUUCUUUGAAGCCCAAGACACCAAGGAUCUUCCCAAGAACUGGCAAGUCCCCGAUGUGCUCUUUCUAUUGAUUUUACACCCCGCCCAAUCGGCAUCCGAAUAACCAAUCAAAUCAAAUGUGGAUCCCCUAGGAUACCAAAGCCCAAACUUAGGAGUAUAAACUAAAUAUCUCAAGAUUCGUUUUACGGCCGUAAGGUGAGCUUCCUUAGGGUCGGCUUGGAAUCUUGCACACAUGCAUACGGAAAGCAUGAUAUCCGGUCGAGAUGCACAUAAAUAUAGCAAAGAACCUAUCAUCGACCGGUAUACCUUUUGAUCGACGGAUUUACCUCCCUCGUCGAGGUCGAGAUGCCCAUUGGUUCCCAUGGGUGUCUUGAUGGGUUUGGCAUCCUUCAUUCCAAACUUGCUUAGAAUGUCUUGAGUAUACUUCGUUUGGCUUAGGAAGGUGCCUUCUUGGAGUUGCUUCACUUGAAAUCCUAAGAAAUAUUUCAACUCCCCCAUCAUAGACAUCUCGAACUUUGGUGUCAUGAUCCUACUGAAUUCUUCACAUGUAGACUCGUUAGUAGAUCCAAAUAUAAUAUCAUCAACAUAAAUUUGGCAUACAAACAAGUCAUUUUCAAGAGUUUUAGUGAAUAGAGUAGGAUCGGCCUUUCCGACUUUGAAGCCAUUAUCUAAAAGAAAAUCCCUAAGGCAUUCAUACCAUGCUCUUGGGGCUUGCUUGAGCCUAUAAAGCGCCUUAGAGAGUUUAUAAACAUGGUUAGGGUACUCACUAUCUUCAAAGCCGGGAGGUUGCUCAACAUAGACCUCUUCUUUGAUUGGUCCAUUGAGGAAGGCACUUUUCACGUCCAUUUGAUAAAGCUUAAAGCCAUGGUAAGUAGCAUAGGCCAAUAAUAUGCGAAUUGACUCAAGCCUAGCUAUGGGUGCAUAGGUUUCACCGAAAUCCAAACCUUCGACUUGGGAGUAUCCCUUGGCCACAAGUCGAGCUUUGUUCCUUGUCACCACACCAUGCUCAUCUUGCUUGUUGCGGAAAACCCACUUGGUUCCUACAACAUUUUGGUUAGGACGUGGAAUUAAAUGCCAUACCUCGUUCCUAGUGAAGUUGUUGAGUUCCUCUUGCAUCGCCACCACCCAAUCCGAAUCUUGUAGUGCUUCCUCUAUCCUGUGUGGCUCAAUGGAGGAAACAAAAGAGUAAUGCUCACAAAAAUGUGCAACACGAGAUCUAGUAGUUACACCCUUAUGAAUAUCGCCGAGGAUGGUGUCGACGGGGUGAUCUCGUUGGAUUGCUUGGUGGACUCUUAGGUGUGGCGGCCUUUGUUCUUCAUCCUCCUUGUCUUGAUCAUUUGCAUCUCCCCCUUGAUCAUUGCCGUCAUCUUGAGGUGGCUCAUUUUCUUGAUCUUCUCCUUCAUCAACUUGAGCCUCAUCCUCAUUUUGAGUUGGCGGGGAUGCUUGCGUGGAGGAGGAUGGUUGAUCUUGUGCUUGUGGAGGCUCUUCGGAUUCCUUAGGACACACAUCCCUAAUGGACAUGUUCCUUAACGCGAUGCACGGAGCCUCUUCAAUACCUAUCUCAUCAAGAUCAACUUGCUCUACUUGAGAGCCGUUAGUCUCAUCAAACACAACGUCAGAAGAAACUUCAACUAGUCCCGAGGACUUGUUAAAGACUCUAUAUGCCCUUGUGUUUGAAUCAUAUCCUAGUAAAAAGCCUUCUACAGUCUUAGGAGCAAAUUUAGAUUUUCUACCUCUUUUAACAAGAAUAAAGCAUUUGCUACCAAAGACUCUAAAAUAUGAAAUGUUGGGCUUUUUACCGGUUAGGAGUUCAUAGGAUGUCUUCUUGAGGAUUCGGUGUAGAUAUAACCGGUUGAUGGCGUAGCAGGCGGUGUUGACCGCCUCGGCCCAAAACCGAUCCGAAGUCUUGUACUCAUCAAGCAUGGUUCUUGCCAUGUCCAAUAGAGUUCUAUUCUUCCUCUCCACUACACCAUUUUGUUGUGGCAUGUAGGGAGAGGAGAACUCAUGCUUGAUGCCCUCCUCCUCAAGGGAGCCUUCAAUUUGAGAGUUCUUGAACUCCGUCCCGUUGUCACUUCUAAUUUUCUUGAUCCUUAAGCCGAACUCAUUUUGAGCCCGUCUCAAGAAUCCCUUUAAGGUCUCUUGGGUUUGAGAUUUUUCCUGCAAAAAGAAUACCCAAGUGAAGCGAGAAUAAUCAUCCAUUAUUACAAGACAAUACUUACUCCCGUCGAUGCUUAUGUAAGCGAUCGGGCCGAAUAGGUCCAUGUGUAGGAGCUCAAGUGGCCUGUCGGUCGUCAUGAUGUUCUUGUGUGGAUGAUGAGCACCAACUUGCUUUCCUGCUUGGCAUGCGCUACAAACCCUGUCUUUCUCAAAGUAAACAUUGGUUAGUCCUAAAAUGUGUUCUCCCUUUAGAAGCUUGUGAAGUUUCUUCAUCCCAACAUGGGCUAGUCGGCGGUGCCAGAGCCAACCCAUGUUAGUCUUAGCAAUUAAGCAUGUGUCGAGUUCAGCUCUAUCAAAAUCUACUAAGUAUAGCUGACCCUCUAACACACCCUUAAAUGCUAUUGAGUCAUCACUUCUUCUAAAGACAGUGACACCUACAUCAGUGAAGAGACAGUUGUAACCCAUUUUGCAUAAUUGAGAUACAGAAAGCAAAUUGUAAUCUAAUGAAUCUACAAGAAGAACAUUGGAAAUAGAAUGGUCAGGAGAUAUAGCAAUUUUACCCAAUCCUUUGACCAAACCUUGGUUUCCAUCCCCGAAUGUGAUCGCUCGUUGGGGAUCUUGGUUUUUCUCGUAGGAGGAGAACAUUUUCUUCUCCCCUGUCAUGUGGUUUGUGCACCCGCUGUCGAGUAUCCAACUUGAGCCCCCGGAUGCAUAAACCUACAAAACAAUUUUAGUUCUUGACUUUAGGUACCCAAACGGUUUUGGGUCCUUUGGCAUUAGAAACAAGAACUUUGGGUACCCAAACACAAGUCUUGGAACCCUUGUGUUUUCCCCCAACAAACUUGGCAACUACCUUGCCGGAUUUGUUAGUUAAAACAUAUGAUGCAUCAAAAGUUUUGAAUGAAAUGUCAUGAUCAUUUGAUGCAUUAGGAGUUCUCUUCUUAGGCAACUUGGCACGGGUUGGUUGCCUAGAACUAGAUGUCUCACCCUUAUACAUAAAAGCAUGAUUUGGGCCAGAGUGAGACUUCCUAGAGUGAAUUCUCCUAAUCUUGUUCUCGGGAUAACCGACAGGGUACAAAAUGUAACCCUCGUUAUCCUGAGGCAUGGGAGCCUUGCCCUUAACAAAAUUAGACAAUCUUUUAGGAGGGGCAUUAAGUUUGACAUUGUCUCCCCUUUGGAAGCCAAUGCCAUCCUUGAUGCCAGGGCGUCUCCCAUUAUAAAGCAUACUACGAGCAAAUUUAAAUUUUUCAUUCUCUAAGUUAUGCUCAGCAAUUUUAGCAUCUAAUUUUGCUAUAUGAUCAUUUUGUUGUUUAAUUAAAGACAUGUGAUCAUGAAUAGCAUUAACAUCAACAUCUCUACAUCUAGUACAAAUAGAAGUGUGCUCAACGGUAGAUGUAGAGGGUUUGCAAGAUUUUAAUUCUAUAACCUUAGCAUGUAAUAUGUCAUUUUCACUUCUAAGGUUAGAAAUAGUAACAUUGCAAACAUCAAAAUCUUUAGCCUUAGCAAGCAAUUUCUCAUUUUCAAUUUUAAGGCUAGCAAGAGUAAUGUUCAAUUCUUCAAUUUUAGCAAGUAAAUCAUUAUUAUCAUUUCUAAGAUUGGGAAUUGAAACAUUACAAGCAAUAGAAUCAACCCUAGCUAAUAGAUUGGCAUUCUCAUUUCUAAGGUUGUCUAUAGUCUCAUGGCAAGUGCUUAGCUCACUAGAUAAUUUUUCACAUUUUUCUACCUCUAGAGCAUAAGCAUUCUUAACCUUAACAUGCUUUUUAUUUUCCUUGAUUAGGAAGUCCUCUUGGGAGUCCAAGAGAUCAUCCUUUUCAUGGAUGGCACUAAUUAGCUCAUUUAGUUUUUCCUUUUGUUCCAUGUUAAGGUUGGCAAAAAGGGUACGCAAAUUAUCUUCCUCAUCACUAGCAUUAUCAUCACUGGCAUAUUUAGUGGAGGAUUUUGAUUUAACCUUCUUCCUUUUGUCGUCCUUUGCCAUGAGGCACUUGUGGCCGACGUUGGGGAAGAGAAGUCCCUUGGUGACGGCGAUGUUGGCGGCGUCCUCGUCGGAGGAGGAGUCAGUGGAGCUCUCGUUGGAGUCCCACUCGCGGCAUACGUGGGCAUUGCCGCCCUUCUUCUUGUAAUGUCUCUUCUUCUCCCUUCUUCUCCCCUUCUUGUCGUUGCCCCUGUCACUAUCACUAGAUAAUGGACAUUUAGCAAUAAAAUGACCGGGCUUACCACAUUUGUAGCAUACUUUCUUGGAGCGGGGUUUGUAGUCUUUCCCCCCUCCUUUGCUUGAGGAUUUGGCGGAAGCUCUUGAUGAUGAGUGCCAUCUCCUCGUUGUCGAGCUUGGAGGCGUCGAUGGGUGUUCGAUUUGGAGUAGCCUCCUCCUUCUUUUCUUCCGUAGCCUUGAAUGCGACGGGUUGUGCUUCGGGUGUGGAGGAGGUGCCUUGCUCGAUGAUUUUCUUUGAGCCUUUAAUCAUUAGCUCAAAGCUCACAAAUUUUCCUAUAACCUCCUCGGGAGACAUUAGCUUGUAUCUAGGAUCACCUCGAAUUAAUUGAACUUGUGUAGGGUUAAGAAAUACGAGGGAUCUAAGAAUAACCUUGACCAUCUCAUGGUCAUCCCAUUUUUCGCUCCCGAGGUUGCGCACUUGGUUCACCAAGGUCUUCAAGCGGUUGUACAUAGCUUGUGGAUCCUCCCCUUGGUGGAGCAUGAAGCGACCGAGCUCCCCCUCGAUCGUCUCCCGCUUGGUGAUCUUUGUCAUCUCGUCUCCUUCGUGCGCGGUCUUGAGUACGUCCCAAAUUUCCUUCGCACUUUUUAACCCUUGCACCUUAUUAUACUCUUCUCGAUUUAGAGAGGCGAGGAGUAUAGUGGUGGCUUGGGAGUUAAAGUGAUGAAUUUGGGCCACCUCGUCUGAGUCGUAGUCUUCAUCCCCUACGGAUGGUACCUGUACACCAAACUCAACAACAUUCCAUAUGCUUGUGUGGAGUGAGGUUAGAUGAUGCCUCAUUUUGUCACUCCACAUAUUAUAAUCUUCAUCGUCAAAAACCGGUGGUUUGCCUAAUGGAACGAAAAGUAAUGGAGUAUGUCUAGAAGUACGAGGAUAAUGUAAGGGAAUCUUACUAAACUUCUUGCGCUCUUGGCGCUUAGAAGUUAUGGAGGGCGCGUCAGAGCCGGAGGUAGAAGGUGAUGAAGUGUCGGUCUCGUAGUAGACCACUUUCCUCAUCUUCUUAAUUUUGUCGCCACUCCGAUGCGACUUGUGGGAAGAAGUCUUCUUUUCCUUCUUCUUCUCCUUCCUCUUCUCCUUGUUGCGGGACUCUCCUGAUAGAGCUUUCUCGUUGCUUGUAGUGGGCUUUUCACCGGUCUCCAUCUCCUUCUUGGCGUGAUCUCCCGACAUCACUUCGAGCGGUUAGGCUCUAAUGAAGCACCGGGCUCUGAUACCAAUUGAUAUUCGCCUAGAGGGGGGUGAAUAGGGCGAAACUGAAAUUUGCAAGAUUAAUCACAACUACAAGCCUGGUUAGCGUUAGAAAUAAUAAUGAGUCCAAGAGAGAGGGCGCAAAACAAAUCGCAAGCGAAUGAAGCGGUGAGACACAAGGAUUUGUUUUACCGAGGUUCGGUUCUUGCAAACCUACUCUUCGUUGAGGUGGUCACAAAGACCGGGUCUCUUUCAACCCUUUCCCUCUCUCAAACGAUCCCUCGGACCGAGUGAGCUUUCUUCUUCUCAAUCAAAUGGGAACAAAACUUCCCCGCAAGGGCCACCACACAAUUGGUGCCUCUUGCCUUGGUUACAAUUGAGUUUUGAUCACAAGAACAAGUGAGAAAGAAAAGAAGCAAUCCAAGCGCAAGAGCUCAAAAGAACACGACAAAUCUCUCUCGCUAAUCACUAAUGCCUUGUGUGGAAUUGGAGAGGAUUUGAUCACUUGGGUGUGUCUAGAAUUGAAUGCCUAGCUCUUGUAAGUGGUUGAGAAGUGGAAAACUUGGAUGCAAUGAAUGGUGGGUGGUUGGGGGUAUUUAUAGCCCCAACCACCAAACUAGCCGUUUGGUGGGGCUGUCUGUCGCAUGGUGCACGGGACGGUCCGGUGCACACCGGACAUGUCCGGUGCGCCAGCCACGUCACCAAAGCCGUUGGGUUCCGACCGUUGGAGCUCUGUCUUCUGGGCCCGCCUGGAUGUCCGGUGGCGCACCGGACAUGCACUGUAGAGUGUCCGGUGCGCCAGUAUGGGCGUGCCUGACUUCUGCGCGCGCUGGCGCGCAUUUAAUGCGCUGCAGGUAGCCGUUGGCGCCGAAAUAUCCAUUGCGGCGUUGUCACACCGGACAGUCCGGUGCACACCGGACAUGUCCGGUGAAUUAUAGCGGACUAGCCGUUGCGAAUUCCCGAAGCUGGCGAGUUCCUAAGGCCGCUCUUCCUUGGAGCACCGGACACUGUCCGGUGUACACCGGACAGUCCGGUGAAUUAUAGCGGAGCGCCUCUGGAUUUUCCCGAAGGUGACGAGUUUGACUUGGAGUCCUCUGGUGCACCGGACACUGUCCGGUGGCACACCGGACAGUCCGGUGCGCCAUACCAGAGGUGCCUUCGGUUGCCCCUUUGCUCUUUUGUUGAACCCAAUACUUGGUCUUUUUAUUGGCUAAGUGUGAACCUUUGGCACCUUUAUAACUUAUACACUAGAGCAAACUAGUUAGUCCAUUUAUUUGUGUUGGGCAAUUCAACCACCAAAAUCAUUUAGGAACUAGGUGUAAGCCUAAUUCCCUUUCACUCUCUCGCGCGCCUGUCCUGUGUCCUAGCCACCAUGCCACCGACAGUCACGCCCGCCACCGCCUCCGCCUGCUGCGCCAUCCUGCAACUGGUCCGAGUGUCGCGUCGUCGUGCCGCCGCGUUAUCAGCUCGAGCGCCGCACCGCCGCACCAUCGGCCAGGGCGUCGUACUGUUGCCGCCAGACGCGUCACCAGCAACCCCGCCAUCGCCCGCUACCGUCCAGACUAGCACCGCCUUCCGUCUCCGACACGACCUCGUCGAUCGCCGGUGAGCUCUCCCUAUCAAUUUGUACGCUUAUUUUGUUGUCAAUAUUUUUUGUUGUUUGAAAUAGGAUAGGUUGUUUGAAAUAGCAUAUGAACUUCAUCGAACACAAAAUCUAAUCUGAAAAUAGUUGACAUAUAGUUGGAAUUUGAUAGCAAACCAUAAAUAAUUUAAGCGAGAAGUUAGUUUCGUUGUGUCAUUCUAGAAAAUGCUUGCAACGGUACAUUGGAUCCCAUGAGUUGGGUACAUUGCAAGUGGUGUAGUUUGAAAUGUGUUAGUCACACAAUUAGAUGAAUUGCGAAAAAUAUAAGCAUGUUUGGAUACCAUGAAUUGAAACAAAUAUAUAGAAAUUACUUCACAUUUUAUUAUAUAGAUUAAUUUUCAAUUCCUCUCACUUCCCUAGAGCGUAGAGGAUUAGUAAUGUUAUUUUUUUCCUAAAAGCACAUCUAAUGUGUGUUCAAAUUGAAGAGCAAAACUUUGCCCUGAUUCUUAAGUUUCUUUCUUUAUGCAGCUAGCCUAAUUGAGGUGAGGGAUUUUUGGAAUAAAGAAAGUUGCACUUGCACUCAAGUUUGAAUAGGGUAAGUAUAUAUUAUGUGUAUCAUUUGCAUAUUUAAUAUCUUUAUUUGGUUUCUAAUGAUGUGUAGGUACUGCCAUUUACCUUAAGCAUAAGUGCUUGAGGUAAAUGGCAGCACCUACAUUUUUUCAUGCACACACCUAGAAAAACAUAUGUGUCACCCGUUCGGAAAUAACACAUCUCACAUUUACUUGUGUGGUGUGUAGUCCAAAUUGUCCAACGUAUUUUGGACAGCCCGAGAAUGGCAGCCUUUGCGUGUUAUUUGGUCUUUAACUCGUGUACCUUCUGCUCAUGAUUUCAGCAGCAUAGCUCCAUUGUUCUCCGACAUUCGAAGAACAACGGGGUUAUGUUGUCAUAAUCACGAGCGAAAGAUACAUGAAUCAGACCAAAUAACACGCAACAAUUGCCAUUCUUGGGUGGGUUUAGGACAUAUCCUCUUCCUAUUAGGGCUUGUAGUUGUGAAUUGGUUAAUAACACUGUAAACUGCACAUGUUUGUCAUGCGUGAUGAUGAUCUAUGUAUUUCCAUUAGCUUUGAAAAUGGGUGACGAUCGAAGAAGGGCCAUGUACGAUGGAUUCAACAAUGACACUUUGGGGCACUCUGAUGCAUGGGUUAAUGUUGCUGAUGAAUUCGUAGCGCGUGCAUUUGCUGGGGAGUCUCGUGUGGAGAAAUGCAUGUGUACUAGGUGUCAAAAGCUAAUUCGUUUGGACAAGUUUGACCUCUCCAUUCAUAUUUGCAAAGCCAGACUAUCUGGUGUGGCACGAGCAUAGAGAGGUGGAUGUUCCUCCGGAGUCGAACACAGACGAGGACGUAGACUGAAUCCGAAUGGAGGACAUGCUAGAUGACAUCUGACAUGAGUAUCCAACACUAGAGACCCACUGACCCCCGCCAGAGGAAGUGCAACAAUUUUACAAGUUGCUAGAAGCCUCGGAUGCAAAAGUGCACGAGGGCACCAACAUGAUCCUACUUCAGGUCGUAACACGACUUAUGGUGAUGAAGUCGAAGUACAACUUUUCAAAUAACUGCUGCAACGAUAUUGUGAAGCUAAUUAUUGGUCUCCUCCCGACUGAGCAUAAGAUGCCAGAGAACUUGUAUUAAUCUAAAAAGAUUGUCUUGAGUCUUGGCAUGAACUAUGAGAAGAUUGAUGCAUGCAAAAAAUAAUUGCAUGUUGUUAUGGAGGGAUCACGAGAAUGACACCCAUUGCAUGCACUGUAACAAGUCAAGGUAUGCAGUGGUGGUGGACGAGAAAGGGAUUGAGAUUACUACAAAAGUCCCGGUCAAGCAGUUGCAGUACAUGCCUAUUACUCCGCGACUUAAAUGGUUGUUUCUAAAUCAGGAGACAACGAAGCAAAUGAGAAGGCAUAAGUAAGGGGAUCAUCAGGACCAAGAUCCGGAUAUCAUGGUGCAUCCAUCGGAUGGUGAGGCAUGGCAUGCACUUGACUGUUUUGAUCCAGAAUCUGCAAGGGGCCCUAAAAGUGUUCGUCUUGAUUUGUCGGUGGACGAAUGCACUCCUUUCAGUAUAAGUUCCACUCUGUAUUUGUGUUGGCCGGUUUUCAUAAUGCCCUACAAUCACCCUCCUACCAAAUGCAUGAAAUAAUAGGUCACAUUUUGUAACGCCCAAACUCCUGAUUUUGGAAUUAGUAAAAUCCUUCUAAAAGAAACCAAUGCAAAAGGUCCUUAAUAAAUAAUUAUACCUUGAAAUUCACACUUUCUGAAAAUAAAUAAUAAUAUUAAAAGCAACAUUAUAUAUAUAGUAAGUUUCCAGAAAUAAAUAAUAGCAAGAAUUUCAAUUUAUUAGAUUAGAUUAUCCUCUUCAAGAAAAAUAUAAGCAUUCUUUUAUGAGUUAAAGCCGCUCUUAAUAAAUAUUUUUAUUAACCUUUCCUAACUUAGAUAAGUAAUCAAUAUUCAUUUUUAUGCACCUUUAACUUGUAUAUAUACAUUUAAGAAUGAUAAGGUCCUUGAAUGAAAAGUGUGUGUGUAUAAAUUACAUACAUAGAAGCAUUUGUUUAAAUAAACUAGAUAAAUAAUCAAAUACACUUUUGUAUUUGCAUUCUGGAGUUUUAUUAUAAGUGUGCAUAUAAAUUUGAUUCAUGAACCUUGAUGUAAAUUUGAAUUUCUGUUUGAAUCUAGUUUAGAAUAAGAAGAAAAGAAAAGGAAAGAAGCAUACCUGCUCACCUUGGGCCAAAUCCGCCCAGCCACGGCCCAACUCUGGGCAUCCGUGUGGCCCAUUUCUCCCCCUGACACUGUUCUCCUUUCACCAACGUGUGGGCCGAGGGCGUUAGCCCCUCACCCCAUCAACUCACGCAUGCACGGACUCACGACUGCUCACUAACGUACGAGCCCAAUUGGUCAGAUCGAUCCGCUCUCACAACAACCAGGUGCACAUGCUAUUACCGCCCAUGGCUCUCGUAGGUCGUUCAAUUCAGUUGAGCUAGCUUGGUAUCUAUCAACCACCUCCUCGCAGCUAUAUAACCUAGGCCACCUUUUCCUUCCCUCACCCGUUGAGCUUGAGUCAGCAGGAGCGCACCCUCACCAAGGACAGCGAUUAGAGAGAGGUCAGGAGAUAGAGGAGAGACAUCGCCGUUAGGCUCAAAGUCUAGCGGUCACCGGAGUUCACCAAAGUUGGGCAUGGUAUGUACAUGAGUGGGAGGCAGACGGUGUGUGCAUAGUGGCACAUCAGUGCCGCGACACCGCAUCAAGUUGUGGGUGGGUCCGCCAGCAUCCCCACCAACGGUAAGACCCUCUUCCACGUGCUCUCCAUAAUCUCUGCAUAGUUUUCGGGUUUCUUGGACGCUGGUUGUGUAGCCGAGCGUGGUGGGGGAUUGCCAGCAAUGGCACUGCUGCUGAUCGGUAGCUACUGUCGUGGCCAGUUGGUCAGGAGGAAGAAGAGCCAUGGGUGCCCUUUGAUCGUGAAAUGGAUGCUCCCAAUUAGAUAAGAGAAUACCUCUUCGUUUCGUUAAAAGGGAAUCGUUUGAUCGUGAUCCUACGGUUCAAAAUAAAUCACGCCUUCAUUAGAUCUAGGCCGUAGAUCCAUGGAUCAAGGGUUGCAGUUACUUACCCCUUCGUUGUUAUAUCCCAUCCAUCGGAUCUUGAUCGGACGACUGACAACAGAAGAUACCCCUUCGCCGAAGAUUUUGCUUAAGACACCCUCGGUUUCAUCAGAUUAAAACCCGCCAUCCAGAUUUCCAUGAUUAAGUCCUCAGUUGAAUACUUAAAUUACAAAGUAGUCCCUAGAAUUUGCACAAACACCCCUAGAAGCUAUUUCGGGAAUAAAAUAAAUAUUAAACUACUUAGAAACUCGGAGAAUUCAUAACUUUUGCAAUAUAACUCUGAUUUGAUUCGUUCAAAUUGCGCUAGUCUCAUAAUAAAAUAUUUACCAUAUAUCAUGUCUUCAAAAAUAAAUCUUUACCUACCCAUGUUUAUGUAUGAAAUCAACUCUUCCUAUCAUAGUUAAAUGUGAUACUUUAAAUAGCCUAUAAAUAUGAACCAACUACAAGGUGAUCUCUAACUAAGUCAUAACCUAGAUGAAUUAGAUGGCUAUUUAGAAUAUAUCUUCACUCAUGAUCCAUGUUAAUUAACAUAUGAUAUAUCUUUUAUUGUUUAAAUCACCUAAAACCUUAGAAAAACAUAUCUCUUCAACAGUAACUUCGAAUUUAGUGGUUCUUGAACCUACGAUCUCGUAACAACGUGUAGAAUAUUCUUACGUUGUUUGUUCUCAUGUUUGGUGUACAAUUAUUUUUGUGUGAUCCUUGUUUAUUUGCAUGUAUUGCUAUGAAUAGCGGUGAGGUCACUAGAAUCUGAAGACAACCUUGGUACCUGAGAGCACCUAGAGGGGGGGGGGGG